rnacentral:tRNA from 1 species
GGCCUCGUAGCUCAACUGGUAGAGCGCACGUGGCACUAUGCGUGGAUGGCAAAAAUGCGCGGGUGGCAACUAUGUGUGGGUUCGAUUCCCACCCGGGCCA